GGGAGGUGACAGUUGAUAGUUGUGAAAGUUGUUGUCUCUUUGAGAUUCGUGAAAUACGCAGCUUUUUAGAAUGCCUCUGAAAGAACAAAGAAGUCACUGGCACUCGACUAUAAAAUGCUAAAAGUUUCUGGUUCCAACAGCACACAGCCAGCAUCAGCCAUUUAAAGUUUUGGCAACUGAAACUAUAAGUCACAAGGCAUUAGAUGCAGAUAUAUACAGUGCAAUUCCAACAGAAAAAGUGGAUGGAACAUGUUGUUAUGUUACUACCUAUAAAGAUCAGCCAUACCUUUGGGCUCGACUAGAUAGAAAACCCAACAAACAAGCUGAAAAAAGAUUUAAAAAUUUUCUACAUUCAAAAGAAAACGCAAAAGAAUUUUUUUGGAAUGUUGAGGAGGACUUCAAACCAGCUCCAGAGUGCUGGAUACCAGCAAAGGAAAUAGAACAAAUAAAUGGGAACCCAGUGCCUGAUGAAAAUGGACACAUUCCUGGUUGGGUACCAGUAGAGAAAA
rnacentral:sRNA from 1 species